AUGAAAACAUCUCUGGGCAGUCGACUUCCCAUCAAUUCCUCGCCACCACUGCCGCCGCCUUCUCCUCCUGCACUCGGUUUCGCCGUAUUGCGGCGAUCCAUGGCCUCCACGUCUUGGUCCCUUUCCACCGCCUCUUUGGCCCAUCGUCCCUCGCCGUGGCCGUCACGAGCGCCGCAGAAGACGGCGGCAGCGGUUGGUAGCCUCGGCCGAUGCGGCUGUCUCCUUUUGCCUCCGUCUUCGAUUCUCCGGAGGGGCCGCCGAAGAGAGAACUGUGUCGUUUGCAUGGCUCCCGAGGAAGAGAAGAUGACCCGCCGCUCCCCUCUCGAUUUUCCCAUCGAAUGGGAAAGGCCAAAACCUGGCAGAAGACCUGAUAUCUUCCCACAAUUUAGCCCAAUGAAAACUCCACUGCCAACUCCACUGCCAGAAGACCCUCCUGAAGAGGACGAAGAAGAGGAGGAAGAAAAGAAUGAGGAGGAAGAAGAAGAUCCAGAUCAACAACCAGAUGAGAAUUCCAGGAUGCAACAUGGAGGAUGGUUUUGAGCAAUAACAUCUUCCAAAGAGAAGUUUUUGAUUUGUUGAUCCAGCGAGGAACACUGUAACUACAGCCUGUAUGAAGUUUCAUGUGAUACUUUUCAGUUAUCCACAAAUGAUGGCUAUAAGAGUGCAAACAUUUCUUA